GAAGAGUUAGUUAAAUAAUAACAUUAAUUUGUCAUGUUAAAAUCACUUUAGAAGUACUUUUCU
rnacentral:tRNA from 1 species